UACAGAGGGUGCGAGCGUUGUUCGGAAUUAUUGGGCGUAAAGGGCUCGCAGGCGGUUUCUUAAGUCUGAUGUGAAAGCCCCCCGGCUCAACCGGGGAGGGUCAUUGGAAACUGGGAAACUUGAGUGCAGAAGAGGAGAGUGGAAUUCCACGUGUAGCGGAUGAAAUGCGUAGAGAUGUGGAGGAACACCAGUGGCGAAGGCGACUCUCUGGUCUGUAACUGACGUGAGGAGCGAAAAGCGUGGGGGAGCGAACAGG
rnacentral:rRNA from 1 species